rnacentral:rRNA from 1 species
GAUGAACGCUAGCGGCAGGCCUAACACAUGCAAGUCGAGGGGGUAGCAGGAUUAAGCUUGCUUAAUUGCUGACGACCGGCGCACGGGUGCGUAACGCGUACGCAACCUACCUUAUACUGGGGUAUAGCCCGGAGAAAUUCGGAUUAAUCCCCCAUAGUACUAAUGAAUCGCAUGGUUUAUUAGUUAAAGCAUUGCGGUAUAAGAUGGGCAUGCGUCCUAUUAGCUAGAUGGUGAGGUAACGGCUCACCAUGGCUACGAUAGGUAGGGGGCCUGAGAGGGUGGUCCCCCACACUGGUACUGAGACACGGACCAGACUCCUACGGGAGGCAGCAGUGAGGAAUAUUGGUCAAUGGGCGCAAGCCUGAACCAGCCAUGCCGCGUGCAGGAAGAAUGCCCUAUGGGUUGUAAACUGCUUUUAUUUGGGAAUAAACCUCUUUACGUGUAGAGAGCUGAAGGUACCAAAUGAAUAAGCACCGGCUAACUACGUGCCAGCCGCCGCCGUAA